CUGGUUGAUCCUGCCAGUAGUCAUAUGCUUGUCUCAAAGAUUAAGCCAUGCAUGUCUAAGUAUAAGCAACUAUACGGUGAAACUGCGAAUGGCUCAUUAAAUCAGUUAUCGUUUAUUUGAUAGUACCUUACUACAUGGAUAACCGUGGUAAUUCUAGAGCUAAUACAUGCUAAAAACCUCGACUUCGGAAGGGGUGUAUUUAUUAGAUAAAAAACCAAUGCCCUUCGGGGCUCCUUGGUGAAUCAUAAUAACUUAACGAAUCGCAUGGCCUUGCGCCGGCGAUGGUUCAUUCAAAUUUCUGCCCUAUCAACUUUCGAUGGUAGGAUAGCGGCCUACCAUGGUAUCAACGGGUAACGGGGAAUUAGGGUUCGACUCCGGAGAGGGAGCCUGAGAAACGGCUACCGCAUCCAAGGAAGGCAGCAGGCGCGCAAAUUACCCAAUCCCGACACGGGGAGGUAGUGACAAUAAAUACUGAUACAGGGCUCUUUUGGGUCUUGUAAUUGGAAUGAGUACAAUUUAAAUCCCUUAACGAGGAACAAUUGGAGGGCAAGUCUGGUGCCAGCAGCCGCGGUAAUUCCAGCUCCAAUAGCGUAUAUUAAAGUUGUUGCAGUUAAAAAGCUCGUAGUUGAACCUUGGGCCUGGCUGGCCGGUCCGCCUCACCGCGUGUACUGGUCCGGCCGGGCCUUUCCUUCUGGGGAACCUCAUGCCCUUCACUGGGCGUGUUGGGGAACCAGGACUUUUACUUUGAAAAAAUUAGAGUGUUCAAAGCAGGCCUUUGCUCGAAUACAUUAGCAUGGAAUAAUAGAAUAGGACGUGUGGUUCUAUUUUGUUGGUUUCUAGGACCGCCGUAAUGAUUAAUAGGGAUAGUCGGGGGCAUCAGUAUUCAAUCGUCAGAGGUGAAAUUCUUGGAUUGAUUGAAGACUAACUACUGCGAAAGCAUUUGCCAAGGAUGUUUUCAUUAAUCAGUGAACGAAAGUUAGGGGAUCGAAGACGAUCAGAUACCGUCGUAGUCUUAACCAUAAACUAUGCCGACUAGGGAUCGGACGGUGUUAGUAUUUUGACCCGUUCGGCACCUUACGAGAAAUCAAAGUUUUUGGGUUCUGGGGGGAGUAUGGUCGCAAGGCUGAAACUUAAAGAAAUUGACGGAAGGGCACCACCAGGCGUGGAGCCUGCGGCUUAAUCUGACUCAACACGGGGAAACUCACCAGGUCCAGACACAAUAAGGAUUGACAGAUUGAGAGCUCUUUCUUGAUUUUGUGGGUGGUGGUGCAUGGCCGUUCUUAGUUGGUGGAGUGAUUUGUCUGCUUAAUUGCGAUAACGAACGAGACCUUAACCUGCUAAAUAGCCAGGCCCGCUUUGGCGGGUCGCCGGCUUCUUAGAGGGACUAUCGGCUCAAGCCGAUGGAAGUUUGAGGCAAUAACAGGUCUGUGAUGC
rnacentral:rRNA from 1 species